UGGGGGAGUAUUGCACAAUGGGGGGAACCCGUGAUGCAGCGACGCCGCGUGGGCGAGGGAGCGCCUCGGCGCGUAAAGCCCUUUCGGCGGGGGAGAACGAUGACGGUACCCGACGAAGAAGCACCGGCUAAAUACGUGCCAGCAGCCG
rnacentral:rRNA from 1 species